rnacentral:rRNA from 1 species
GACGAACGCUGGCGGCAGGCUUAACACAUGCAAGUCGAACGCCCUCUUCGGAGGGAGUGGCAGACGGGUGAGUAACGCGUGGGAAUGUACCUAUCGGUACGGAAUAGCUCAGGGAAACUUGAAUUAAUACCGUAUACGCCCUUCGGGGGAAAGAUUUAUUGCCGAUAGAUCAGCCCGCGUUAGAUUAGCUUGUUGGUGCGGUAAAAGCGCACCAAGGCUACGAUCUAUAGCUGGUCUGAGAGGAUGAUCAGCCACACUGGAACUGAGACACGGUCCAGACUCCUACGGGAGGCAGCAGUGGGGAAUAUUGGACAAUGGGCGAAAGCCUGAUCCAGCCAUGCCGCGUGAAUGAAGAAGGCCUUAGGGUUGUAAAAUUCUUUCAACGGUGAAGAUAAUGACGGUAACCGUAGAAGAAGCCCCGGCUAAUUUCG